rnacentral:lncRNA from 1 species
UGGGAGUGGAGGUUGCAGUGAGCUGAGAUCACGCCACUGCACUCCAGCCUGAGUGACAGAAUGAGACUCUGUCUCAACAAACGAAAACAAAAAAAGGACAAAUCGUGUGUGACUGCACUCACACGAGGAACUCCACACAAUGAGGUCCAGGAAGAAAAACCUGAACAGUGUUUUUCAGGGACUGGGGAGGGACAUGAAGGGUCACUGUGUGAUGGGAGAGCUUCAGUUUUAAGAUGAAAAGGGCUCUGGAGAUGGAAGUGAUAGCUGCACAACAGCAUGAAUGUGUGUAACACCACUGACCUGUACUCCUGCAACAGCGUGAAUGUAACACCACCGACCUGCAUGCCUGCAACAGCAUGAAUGUGCAACACCACCGACCUGCACGCCUGCAACAGCAUGAAUGUGUAACACUACCGACCUGCAUGCCUGCAACAGCAUGAAUGUGUGUAACACCACUGACCUGCACGCCUGCAAGUGUGAAUGUGUGUAACACCACCGACCUGCAAGCCUGCAACAGUGUGAAUGUGUGUAACACCAACCUGCACACCUGCAACAGUGUGAAUGUAACACCACCGACCUGCACGCCUGCAACAGCAUGUGUGUAACACCACGGACCUGCACGCCUGCAACAGUGUGAAUGUGUGUAACACCACCGACCUGCACGCCUGCAAGUGUGAAUGUGUGUAACACCGACCUGCACGCCUGCAACAGCAUGAAUGUGUGUAACACCACCGACCCGCACGCCUGCAAGUGUGAAUGUGUGUAACACCAACCUGCACGCCUGCAACAGCGUGAAUGUAACACCACCGGCCUGCACGCCUGCAAUAGCGUGAAUGUGUGUACCACUGACCUGCACGCCUGCAACAGCGUUGUGUGUAACACCACCGACCUGCAUGCCUGCACCAGCGUGAAUGUAACACCACCGACCUGCACGCCUGCAACAGCAUGAAUGUAACACCACUGACCUGCACGUCUGCAACAGCGUGAAAAUGUGUAACACCACCGACCUGCACGCCUGCAACAGCAUGAAUGUACCACCGACCUGCACGCCUGCAACAGCAUGUGUGUAACACCGACCUGCACGCCUGCAACACCAUGAAUGUGUGUAACACCACCGACCUGCACGCCUGCAACAGUGUGAAUGUACCACCGACCUGCACGCCUGCAAAAGCGUGAAUGUGUGUAACACCACCGACCUGCAUGCCUGCAACAGCGUGAAUGUGUGUAACACCACUGACCUGCACGCCUGCAACAGCAUGAAUGUAACACCACCGACCUGCACGCCUGCAACAGUGUGAAUGUGUGUAACACCACCGACCUGCACGCCUGCAACAGCGUGUAACACCACCGACCUGUACUCCUGCAACAGCAGGAAUGUGUGUAACAGCACCGACCUGCACGCCUGCAACAGCGUGAAUGUAACACCACCGACCUGCACGCCUGCAACAGCAUGUAACACCACCGACCUGUACUCCUGCAACAGCAUGUGUGUAACAGCACCAACCUGCACGCCUGCAACAGCAUGAAUGUGUGUAACACCACCGACCUGUACUCCUGCAACAGCAUGUGUGUAACACCACUGACCUGUACGCCUGCAACAGCCCAAAUGUGUGUAACACCACCGACCUGCACGCCUGCAACAGUGUGAAUGUGUGUAACACCACCGACCUGCACGCCUGCAACAGCGUGAAUGUAACACCACCGACCACGCCUGGAAAUGGUUAAGGUGGUGCGUUUUGUGUGUUUUAUCACAGUAAAAAACCUGAAAACACACAUGCACAUACACACACACACACAGUACCUGCUGUGAUGAGCAAAAGGUAGCUCCAGGGGAGGCGCAUCCAGCCAGAAAGCCUGCCCCCUUACCUGAAACUUCUUAUCCCCUGUGAGACGGGAGAGCUCCCGGAACUCCAGCUGAAUGCUGGUCACCUCGGCCACAGUGCUGUCGGAGGUCCACCGUGGCGGGUGGGCAACUCCAGUACCGAUGUUCACAUCCGAGUAAGGAAUCUUGGAUGGUGUUCUGAAGGCAGGCAUUAGCCGAUUUCCAAAAUCC